rnacentral:lncRNA from 1 species
GGGUCUAGAUCCACCUAGUGCCCCUGCCUCACCUCUGGCACCCCAUUAUGGUAGUUGGCUUGACUUGCUGAUGGCUGUCUUUGGUCCCAUUCUAUUGGUGACUGAUUCACUAGUGCCCAUGUUGGCUGGCAGGAGAAUGCUUGGGGAGUACAAGCAAGAAGACAGAGACCCUAGGGAGACACAAGGUGAAGUCCAGGCCCCAUGUAUAAGUGUGAGAGGGUAGGAACCUGCUCACUAUGCCUGCUCCUCCCCAGGUCUGGUCGCUACCACCAGCCCACUGCCCCAGAGCAGGGACGAGAACAGCAACGACUACCCUGAGAUGGAGGAGGAUGGCAGCCUGUGGCCCACACUGUGCACCUUCGUGGCACUCUUCCUCCUCACACUGCUUUACAGUGGCUUUGUCACCUUCAUCAAGGUGAAAUAGCCCAGCCACAGCUGACAUCAUGAAGCCACAAGAAGGGAUGCUCAGUCUUGAAUCCCAUCUCAGACACUGCCUCACACAGAGACAAGGCGUUCCAAGGCUCCCCUCUGCCCACACAGGACCCCACCUACCCUGUACUGCCCAGAACCUCCCUCUGCUCUGUCAGAGCUUCAUCAAGCUGCAUUCCUGAUCUCCAUAAACACUUGGAUUCACUUUUCCUGCCUCCUGUUUCUUGGUCCAUGCCAUCCAAGUGACCUCAGA